GCGCCCGUAGCUCAGUCGGAUAGAGCACCAGAUUCCUAAUCUGGGGGUCACAGGUUCGAAUCCUGUCGGGCGCGCCA
rnacentral:tRNA from 2 species